AGAGCAACAUGUCCAGGCCUGCCAAAUAUUUAUGAAGCAUACUGAAGUGAUGUGUGUGUGUGUUCCACAGCUGUAAAUUAUGGAAAGAAAAGCAGUGCACUGCAGUGAAUUGCACAGGCCAAGAUGUCUCAAGUUGUACAUUCAAACAGAAGUGAUGGGUGACAGGCUUUUACUAGCAACUUGUGAAGAAAAAUCAGGUAGCUAGAGCAGAGACCAGAUGCUGUGAUUGAUGCAAACAGAGAUAGACGUUUUACAAUUGAAAUGAUAGACUCUGAUAUUUGCAUGUAUUGUUUUGUAUGAUGAACUUUGCCCGUACAAGUGGCUAUGCCCGUAAAAGAGGCACACUUUUGCUCAUUGUGUUUGUUAUCUUUUUAAAAAUAUAUAAAGUAAUGGUAGUCUCCGAGAUGAAGGUUUAGUGUUGUUAGUAUGUAUCAUGAGCCUAAUAGCCCGUCCUGUCCGUCCGCAGUCAAUACUUUGCCAGCUUGUUUGCUAAGUACACUCUCCCUAUGAAACAUUAAGAGACACUGGCAUUCACCAGUGUGAGUAAACAUGUUCACUCAUGCUGGUAGUGCCUUUGUGUAUUAAGUGUACUUGGUAGGCAAGUGUGGUCUAUCACAUCUCGGAGAUACAUAUAAUUAAAUCAGACAAGGGUCGUUGACAAAGAUAAAAUGAGACGUGUUAUACUAUUUAACUAUACUUAUGAGAUACUUUAUAAGGUAGAUGGUCCUUCAAAAUUUCAACACUUUGAACAACAAAACUCUUGAUUUCUGAUUGAUCAUUUUUCUUGAACGUCUCAUUUUAUCUUUGCCACUGUGCCCUUACUGCAUCGAAAUUG